rnacentral:piRNA from 1 species
CUCUGGCUUACCUUGGAUAGUCUGGG